UUUGGUAGUUUUUUGUAGGAUU
rnacentral:miRNA from 1 species